rnacentral:rRNA from 1 species
AUGAGGGCGUUCCUGAUGGGCUGCUUCCACCCGCGCGGCGGCGCCACGGACCCGGCGGCGGUGGCGGACGGCGACGAGGCGACCACGGCCACGGCCAAGGCCACGGCGCCGUCGAGGCCGCCCACCAGGAAGGGCAAGAAGAAGUCGAUGCGGCGGGCGCCGAGCGCGACGGCGCGGCUGCGGACGCUCUCCUUCGACGACCUGUCCCGCACGCUGGCCUCGUCGGGGAUGCACGCGUUCACCGUCGCCGAGCUGCGGGCCGCCACGCGCAACUUCUCCGGCAGCCACUUCAUCGGGGAGGGCGGGUUCGGGCCGGUCUACAAGGGCUUCCUCGACGACAAGGUGGUGCCGGGGAUGCAGCCGCAGCACGUGGCCGUCAAGUACCUGGACGCCGAGGGCCCGCAGGGCCACCGCGAGUGGCUCGCCGAGGUGGUCUACCUCGGCAUGCAGCUCAGCCACCCGCACCUGGUGAAGCUCGUCGGCUACUGCUACCAGGAGCACCACCGCAUGCUCGUCUACGAGUACAUGGCCCGGGGCAGCCUCGAGCACCACCUCUUCAAGAAUCUGCUGGCGAGCUUGCCGUGGGCGACGAGGCUGAAGAUCGCGGUGGGGGCGGCCAAGGGGCUGGCGUUCCUGCACGAGGCGGAGACGCCGGUCAUCUACAGGGACUUCAAGGCCUCCAACAUCCUGCUCGAAUCGGACUACACGGCGAAGCUGUCGGACUUCGGGCUGGCGAAGGAGGGCCCGUCGGGGGACGACACGCACGUGUCGACGCGCGUCAUGGGCACGCACGGCUAUGCGGCGCCGGAGUACAUCCUCACGGGCCACCUCACGGCGAGGAGCGACGUGUACAGCUUCGGGGUGGUGCUGCUUGAGCUGCUCACGGGCCGCCGGAGCGUCGACAAGCGCCGCCGGGGCCGCGAGCAGAACCUCGUCGACUGGGCGCGCCCCUACCUGCGGCGGCCGGACAAGCUGCACCGCGUCAUGGACCCCAGCCUCGAGGGCAGCUACUCCGCCGAGGCCGCCGCCAAGGCCGCCACCGUCGCGUACAACUGCCUGCACAGCGUGCCCAAGAACCGGCCCACCAUGCGCGAGGUCGUCGACUCGCUCGAGCCGCUCAUGCGCAUGUCCCGCGACGUGCCCGCCGGGCUGUUCGUCUACACCGCGCCGUCAGAGCCGUCGCCGGCAGCCAAGGUCGUCGCCGACAAGGCCGCAGAGGACGGCGAGGAAGCCAAGGACAGCGGCAUUAGCCCGGCGGCAGCGGCCAGGAAGAAAUGCCAGCGCUCGGCCGUGCACACGGAGAGCGCGGCGCCCAAGUACGCGAGCUCCGUGGCGGGGAAAGAGAGCCGCGGCUCGCCGACGCAGAGGAGGGACAGAGGGGCGUGA